GGGUUGUCCGUGUUUAAGGUCGUAGGCUGGUGUCUUAGGUAAAUUCGGGAUGCUAAGGCUGAGAACUGAUGACGAGUGUUCCUCGGAACAUGAAGUGCUUGAUGCCAUGCUUCCAAGAAAAGCCUCUAAGCUUCAGGUAAAAAGAGACCGUACUCUAAACCGACACAGGUGGUCAGGUAGAGAAUACCAAGGCGCUUGAGAGAACUCGGGUGAAGGAACUAGGCAAAAUGGCACCGUAACUUCGGGAGAAGGUGCGCCGGUUUUGGUGAAAGGGCUUGCCCCUCGAGCUGAGGCCGGCCGAAGAUACCAGUCCCCUGCAACUGUUUAUUAAAAACACAGCACUCUGCAAACACGUAAGUGACGUAUAGGGUGUGACGCCUGCCCGGUGCCGGAAGGUUAAUUGAUGGGGUUAGCGUAAGCGAAGCUCUUGAUCGAAGCCCCGGUAAACGGCGGCCGUAACGAUAACGGUCCUAGGUAGCGAAAUUCCUUGUCGGGUAAGUUCCGACCUGCACGAAUGGCGUAAUGAUGGGGGAGCUGUCUCCACCCGAGACUCAGUGAAAUUGAAAUCGCGGUUAAGAUGCCGUGUACCCGCGGCUAGACGGAAAGACCCCGUGAACCUUUACUGUAGCUUUGCACUGAACUUUGAACCUAUCUGUGUAGGAUAGGUGGGAGGCUUUGAAGUCGAGACGCUAGUUUCGAUGGAGCCGUCCUUGAAAUACCACCCUGGUAUGUUUGAGGUUCUAACCUAGGUCCGUUAUCCGGACUGGGGACAGUGUAUGGUGGGCAGUUUGACUGGGGCGGUCUCCUCCCAAAGAGUAACGGAGGAGCACGAAGGUUGGCUAAUCCUGGUCGGAAAUCAGGAGGUUAGUGUAAUGGCACAAGCCAGCUUGACUGCGAGACAGACAUGUCGAGCAGGUACGAAAGUAGGUCAUAGUGAUCCGGUGGUUCUGUAUGGAAGGGCCAUCGCUCAACGGAUAAAAGGUACUCCGGGGAUAACAGGCUGAUACCGCCCAAGAGUUCACAUCGACGGCGGUGUUUGGCACCUCGAUGUCGGCUCAUCACAUCCUGGGGCUGAAGCCGGUCCCAAGGGUAUGGCUGUUCGCCAUUUAAAGUGGUACGCGAGCUGGGUUUAGAACGUCGUGAGACAGUUCGGUCCCUAUCUGCCGUGGGCGUUGGAGAUUUGAGAAGAGUUGUUCCUAGUACGAGAGGACCGGAAUGAACGCACCUCUGGUGUUCGGGUUGUCAUGCCAAUGGCAUCGCCCGGUAGCUACGUGCGGACGGGAUAACCGCUGAAAGCAUCUAAGCGGGAAGCCUCCUUCAAGAUUAGAUCUCCCUGGAACUUUAAGUUCCCUGUAGAGCCGUUGAAGACUACGACGUUGGUAGGUUGGGUGUGGAAGCGUCGCGAGGCGUUGAGCUAACCAAUACUAAUUGCUCGUGCGGCUUGACC
rnacentral:rRNA from 1 species